rnacentral:rRNA from 1 species
AUUCAGUUGGGCACUNUAGCGAGACCGCCGGUGAUAAACCGGAGGAAGGUGUGGAUGACGUCAAGUCAUCAUGCCCCUUACAUCCUGGGNUACACACGUNNUACAAUGCUNCGGACAAAGGGCAGCAAACUCGCGAGAGNUAGCAAAUCCCAUAAACCG